rnacentral:lncRNA from 1 species
GUUGGAAUUUUAUGUGUGGACUUACAUAAUUAAUUUGAUAAUAUCAUAAAUCAGUGUUAAUUUAUGUUUUUGCAUUGUGGUCCAUAAUGGGACUGGACACAAAUUGUUGCUUGAUUUUUUAUGGGCUCACCCUAAUUCACUUGACUGGCCCAUUAAGUCAAGUCGUCCAACUAAAGUGUGUAAUGUGCAAUAUAUAUAUAUAUAUAUAUAUAUAUAUAUAUAUAUAUAUAUAUAUAUGUAUUUAUUUGUAUAUAUAUAUAUAGAGAGAGAGGUGUUUGCAUUUUUUAGAGAGCAUCCUUUCUUCUUUUUGAGAGCUCUCCCGCAAACACACUCACACACUCCACUUUGGACUGAAUUUUGGGGAUUAAAGGGAAGAGCUCAUUGAUCGUUCAUCCUCGGAGCAUCACGCACCCGGAAAGCAGAUUAUUGGACAUCAAAGGUAGCAGAAAUGGCUUCCCAAAGCACGAACCAAGGUAACGGGUUGAAUUUUGAUGAAAAAUGCAUGCUUAAUUUGUCAACAUGUGAUCCUAUGAAAUUUAAAUUCUCA